UACGUAGGCAGCAAGCGUUGUUCGGAGUUACUGGGCGUAAAGGGUGUGUAGGCGGUCUUCUAAGUUUGGUGUGAAAUCUCCCGGCUUAACUGGGAGGGUGCGCCGAAAACUGGAAGGCUUCGAGUGCGGGAUGGGAGAGUGGAAUUCCUGGUGUAGCGGUGAAAUGCGUAGAUAUCAGGAGGAACACCUGUGGUGUAGACGGCUCUCUGGACCGUAACUGACGCUGAGACACGAAAGCGUGGGUAGCAAACAGG
rnacentral:rRNA from 1 species